UACGGAGGUCUCAAGCGUUGUUCGGAUUCAUUGGGCGUAAAGGGCGCGUAGGCGGCGGGGUAAGUCGGGUGUGAAAGCCCAGGGCUCAACCCUGGAAGUGCACUCGAAACUGGUCGGCUUGAAUAUGGAAGAGGGUCGCGGAAUUCCCGGUGUAGAGGUGAAAUUCGUAGAUAUCGGGAGGAACACCAGUGGCGAAGGUGGCAACCUGGACCAAUAUUGACGCUGAGGUGCGAAAGCGUGGGGAGCAAACAGG
rnacentral:rRNA from 1 species